UAUCAGUCAUGCAUAGCAUAUCAAUAAGCGGAGGAAAAGAAACUAACAAGGAUUCCCCUAGUAACGGCGAGUGAAGCGGGAAGAGCUCAAAUUUGAAAUCUUAAAGGGUUUCCCUUUACGAAUUGUAGUUUAAAGAAGUGUUUUCUGUUGAGGUUUUGGUAAAAGUUCUUUGGAAUAGGACAUCAUAGAGGGUGAGAAUCCCGUAUUUGACCUUUACUUUCAACUUUAUGAUACACUUUCAAAGAGUCGGAUUGUUUGGGAAUGCAGUCCAAAAUGGGUGGUAAAUUUCAUCUAAAGCUAAAUAUUGGCGAGAGACCGAUAGCGAACAAGUACCGUGAGGGAAAGAUGAAAAGAACUUUGAAAAGAGAGUUAAACAGUACGUGAAAUUGUCAAAAGGAAAGCGUUUGACACCAGUGUUGUUUUUCUGAAAAUCAAUUAAAGAACUGUUUAUGCUAAGUUGUUUAGACUUUAUCAGCUAACUGUUUAGUUUUGAGCUUUUCUUUAAUGCACUUUUCAGUUAACAAGUCAACAUCAAUUUCUUUUGCUGUAAAAAAGCUUGAGGAAGGUGGCUUGAGAUUCGUCUUAAGUGUUUAUAGCCUCUUGCCUAUGCAGUCGGAGAGAUUGAGGUCUGCAGCGUAGAUCCUUCGGGGCUAAAUGCAUUUGUGCUAAGUUAUAGCAUUUUAUAGACAACUUGUUGACUAUGAUUUGUCUUGUAGCUUACUCGCUUAUGUUAUUUUACCUACGCUUAGGAUGUUGACGCGCGUGUGUGCGUG
rnacentral:rRNA from 1 species